GCAAACUUGGUCAUUUAGAGGAAGUAAAAGUCGUAACAAGGUUUCCGUAGGUGAGUUGGAAGCUUUUCAUCUUACACCCCCCAAUAUGCUUCAAUAAUGUGCUGACUUUUUUUAGGUGAACCUGCGGAAGGAUCAUUACUGGGUUGGACGUACGUCCGCUACCCGCCCUCUGUCAUCUGUACUGAAUGUUUCGGCCCUCGGGUCGGCAGCACUCUGUAGAAGUUUGAAGUCUGAAAAACUUGUUAAUAAAAAAACUUUCAACAACGGAUCUCUUGGUUCUGGCAUCGAUGAAGAACGCAGC
rnacentral:misc_RNA from 1 species